CCUACGGGGGACAGCAGUGAGGAAUAUUGGUCAAUGGCCGGAAGGCUGAACCAGCCAUGCCGCGUGAAGGUCAGUGCCCUAUGGGCGUUUAACCUCCUUUGUGCGGGAGCAAUAAUGGUCACGUGUGGCCAGACGAGAGUACCGUACGAAUAAGCAUCGGCUAACGCCGUGCCAGCAGCCGCGGUAAUACGGGGGAUGCAAGCGUUAUCCGGGUUUAUGGGGUUUAAAGGGUGCGUAGGCGGUGAGGUAAGUCAGCGGUGAAAUGCCCCCGCUCAACGGGGUGAAGUGCCAUUGAGACUGGCGUGCUGGAAUGCGGAUGCCGUGGGAGGAAUGUGUGGUGUAGCGGUGAAAUGCUUAGAUAUCACGAAGAACCCCGAUUGCGAAGGCAGCUUACUAAACUGUGACUGACAUUGAUGCUCGAAAGUGUGGGUAUCAAACAGGAUUAGAUACCCCAGUAGUC
rnacentral:rRNA from 1 species